rnacentral:rRNA from 1 species
UGGCGGACGGGUGAGGAAUACAUCGGAAUCUACUCUGUCGUGGGGGAUAACGUAGGGAAACUUACGCUAAUACCGCAUACGACCUACGGGUGAAAGCAGGGGAUCUUCGGACCUUGCGCGAUUGAAUGAGCCGAUGUCGGAUUAGCUAGUUGGCGGGGUAAAGGCCCACCAAGGCGACGAUCCGUAGCUGGUCUGAGAGGAUGAUCAGCCACACUGGAACUGAGACACGGUCCAGACUCCUACGGGAGGCAGCAGAC